ensembl:lncRNA
GGAGAAUGGGGAUAAUGAAAGCCACAUUCACUCAAACACCUGGUUUGCAUGAGCUGCCUUGCACUGAAUAUUGUGCAGGAGACAUCAGCUCUGAGUUUGCACAUCUUAUAUUUCAUUUUCUAAGACCCAUCACAGAGACUGAUGUGUAUUUGACACUGUGCAGAAACCCUGUCUCCAGCAUGAAGACUAUAUGAUGGCCCAUGGCUCACACUUCCCUAAGAAGGGGACCCCAGAUUCCAUAUCCACAUCAGACUUGAGACAUGUACGCAUGCUCCUACUCCUUGGAGAAGCCUCCAACCACCAACCUGAGGACUAAGAACUGCAGCUGUCCUGGAUAUUCAAAGCUACAUAACAAUGAAGAUCACAUUCGUGAGAUAACAUCACAUCCCAAACACUUCUUCAGGGUGAGGCCCUACCCUGGCAAAGGGCUUAAGUAAGUGCCAGAAUCUCUCUUUCCAGUUAGAGCAUGUAACACAAUGGAAACAGCAAUAACAGCAGAGCGGCAAGGUCCUAGGCUGCAGCAAGUGACUAUUCAACCAAAUGCAAUAGCCAUGGGCACAGAAAUGAAGGAAAAAAGCUGCUUACCUACAGAAG